ACGGACUUCGGUCUGGUGGCGAGUGGCGAACGGGUGAGUAAUGUAUCGGAACGUACCUUUCAGUGGGGGAUAACGUAGCGAAAGUUACGCUAAUACCGCAUAUUCUGUGAGCAGGAAAGCAGGGGAUCGAAAGACCUUGCGCUGAUUGAGCGGCCGAUAUCAGAUUAGCUAGUUGGUGGGGUAAAGGCCUACCAAGGCGACGAUCUGUAGCGGGUCUGAGAGGAUGAUCCGCCACACUGGAACUGAGACACGGUCCGGACUCCUACGGGAGGCAGCAGUGGGGAAUUUUGGACAAUGGGGGCAACCCUGAUCCAGCCAUGCCGCGUGAGUGAAGAAGGCCUUCGGGUUGUAAAGCUCUUUCGGCCGGGAAGAAAUCGCAUAGGCUAAUACCCUGUGUGGAUGACGGUACCGGAAUAAGAAGCACCGGCUAACUACAUGCCAGCAGCCGCGGUAAUACGUAGGGUGCGAGCGUUAAUCGGAAUUACUGGGCGUAAAGCGUGCGCAGGCGGUUUCGUAAGACAGAGGUGAAAUCCCCGGGCUCAACCUGGGAACUGCCUUUGUGACUGCGAGGCUAGAGUAC
rnacentral:rRNA from 1 species